rnacentral:rRNA from 1 species
UAGUCCGCACGGUAAACGAUGGAUGCCCGCCGUAUGCUCUUGGAAGUAUGCGGCCAAGCGAAAGCGUUAAGCAUCCCACCUGGGGAGUACGCCGGCAACGGUGAAACUUAAAGGAAUUGACGGGGGCCCGCACAAGCGGAGGAACAUGUGGUUUAAUUCGAUGAUACGCGAGGAACCUUACCCGGGCUUGAACUGCAGGAGUUCGCCGGCAGAGACGCCGGCAUCCCUUCGGGGCUCCUGCGG